CCCCUCUUUGAACCCUAAGCCUCGCAUCUGAGACUGAAUGAAACCACCCUAAGCCAGCUUCGUGCCCUCGUCUCUAUGUCUCUGCUCUCUCGAGCUCGGCGUCGGCAGCGGGCAGUCCCUCACCCUCACCUCGUCACUCCCUCGGCGUCGUCAGUUCGUCACUCCCUCGGCAUCGUCAGUUCGUCACUCCCUCGGCGUCACUCUGGGUCUCUCACCUCGUCGCUCUCUUAGUCUGUCACUGUGAGUCCGUGACCUUGCGUUCGCUUCGUCGGAACCAGUGAAGCAACAUCUGCUCCCUCGAAUGGUGGUGGUCGUAGUCUUCUCAACCAGAAGCAUUGUUGAAUCUAGAGCCCAAUGCUGGAGGUAUCUCACCGUCAAAGUUGUUCCCAGAAACGUUGAAGUAGACCAAGCCAGGGAUCAUAGAAAGAUUACUAGGAAUUUUUCCACUGAAGUUAUUAGCAGAGAGAUCCAGUAUUGUUAGAUUUGAUAGAUCUGUCAAUGCCUCUGGUAUGUUUUCCUGAAAGAUGGUUGUGAUCCACUAACAAAGAUUUCAAUGAGGAGCAUUUGAAAAUAUCCCGAGGCACAUCCCAAAUAAAUUAUUCCUACCCAAAUCUUUUUUUAGAUCAUUAGUUAUGUUUAAAAAUUGAUAUUGAAUUAUUAAUGUUUGUAAAGGUUUAUAUUUUAAAUUUUAAGAUAUUAAUUUUAUUUAUAUAAUUUUAUUUUUUUAGUUA